rnacentral:lncRNA from 1 species
UGACGAUGGUGACCAAUUUGAGUAGCUCUUUGUAACCAACUUAGGGAUGAUCAGUGGUGCAGCCUUUGUGGUGGGGAAAAUCAACAGUCCAUGGACUUGUCGAGGCAUCCCCAAGUAGAAACAGAAGGAAAGUCUGGUAGUUUUGGAGCCAUUCUCUGCCCACUGUUAGGGUCGUCUUGGGCUACAUGGACCAUAACUCUGACUUGGAGAGUUGCCAUCUGAAAUAACCAGGCUGGUGAGCACCUUGGUAAUCUUGGCUCCAUGGAAGCAGCUGCUGUGGAGGGGCUGUGGCAGUGAGAUGAGGCUGAAUGGCAGACAGAGGGGGCAUUUGUAGGUAGACAGCUUCUGGAGGCACCGGGGCCAGCUGCCCUGGGUUGCUGUCCCUGGGGAAUCUGGAGCCUUCCUGUCACUCCAGGAAACCUGAACUGCAGGCACCAGGACUCUUUCAGUUCAGACGCUCUUCCUUUUUCACGUCCAAAAUUCAUUUAUUCAUUCAUUCAUUUACUCAUCCAUCCAUCCAUUCACUGAUUCAAUUGAUGUGUUUAUGGAAGGUCUACUCUGGGCGAAGCGCUCGCAGGUGCUGGGGUCUCAGAGGCAAACCACCCACACAGCCCUGCAUUCACUGCCCUGAUUGUGAUUGCUAAUCCCACCCCCACCUCUGUUGUCUGUCCUUCCUGACAGAUAAGUCAGUGACACUUGGAGAACAGUGUGAGGAGUGCUGUGAUGGGGAGAUACCAAGUACACAGAAGGUGUUUUUCAGAGGCAUCACUGUGAACGCGGUGCGGGGCUUCCCAAUGAGUGCGGCCAUGUUCCUUGGGUACGAGCUGUCGCUGCAGGCUAUCCGCGGGGACCACACAGUGACGAGCCCAUGAGCGCCAGGAGGUGAACACAGGAUGACUACAGUGUUCCCUGGGCCUCAUCUCUGCAUGUGAAGCCCUGAGAGCUGCAGAUGUUUGGCCUUUGGACCUCCAAGUGGACAUCAAUUAGCAAGCGUGGGCUAGGAUGGUGCAGACACUGACGUGGCCCUUCUGAUGCCUGGGAUGCCUCAUGAGUCACUGAUUCAAGCCCUCCAAGGUUCUGAUCCCCAAUGCCCACUCUGCUAGGCUGGCAUCAAAGAGCUUUCCAACAAAUGUUUGGUCCAGCAGAGAAGUCCAGACCAUGAGCACCAGGGAGCCAGAAACCACCCAGAGAAACGUUGCUUCGCUCCUCUGUCUGAGGAUGGGGAGGGGCCAGUGAGCUCUGGGCUCAGCCACUCCCUCCAGUCUCAAGUACCACGUCCCCGUGCCUCCAGUCUCCUCUCAGCACCGACCAGGUUUUUCCCCGCUCCUGCACCCGUGGAUCCUGAGGACAGCGGUAGCGCCUUCCUCACCGCACGCUGAGUCCAGUGCGUGCUCCUCACUGUGCACUUAUUAGUGUCUGUUGAGUGAUUAAAUCACAUCCUCAGGUCUGCA